AACGAACGCUGGCGGCAUGCCUAACACAUGCAAGUCGAACGCCCGGCUUCGGCCGGGAGUGGCGCACGGGUGAGUAACGCGUGGGAACCUGCCCCGAGGUGGGGGAGUAACCCGGCGAAAGACCGGGCGUAAUACCGCAUACGUCCCGACGAGAGAAAGAAUUGAUCGCCUUGGGAGGGGCCCGGCGUCGGAUUAGGUAGUUGGUGGGGUAACGGCCUACCAAGCCUGUGAUCCGUAGCUGGUCUGAGAGGANGGCCAGCCACACUGGGACUGAGACACGGCCCAGACUCCUACGGGAGGCAGCAGUGGGGAA
rnacentral:rRNA from 1 species